CAGUCGAACGAGUUCUCGUUGAUGAUCGGUGCUUGCACCGAGAUUCAACACGGAACGAGUGGCGGACGGGUGAGUAACACGUGGGUAACCUGCCCUUAAGUGGGGGAUAACAUUUGGAAACAGAUGCUAAUACCGCAUAGAUCCAAGAACCGCAUGGUUCUUGGCUGAAAGAUGGCGUAAGCUAUCGCUUUUGGAUGGACCCGCGGCGUAUUAGCUAGUUGGUGAGGUAAUGGCUCACCAAGGCGAUGAUACGUAGCCGAACUGAGAGGUUGAUCGGCCACAUUGGGACUGAGACACGGCCCAAACUCCUACGGGAGGCAGCAGUAGGGAAUCUUCCACAAUGGACGCAAGUCUGAUGGAGCAACGCCGCGUGAGUGAAGAAGGCUUUCGGGUCGUAAAACUCUGUUGUUGGAGAAGAAUGGUCGGCAGAGUAACUGUUGUCGGCGUGACGGUAUCCAACCAGAAAGCCACGGCUAACUACGUGCCAGCAGCCGCGGUAAUACGUAGGUGGCAAGCGUUAUCCGGAUUUAUUGGGCGUAAAGCGAGCGCAGGCGGUUUUUUAAGUCUGAUGUGAAAGCCCUCGGCUUAACCGAGGAAGCGCAUCGGAAACUGGGAAACUUGAGUGCAGAAGAGGACAGUGGAACUCCAUGUGUAGCGGUGA
rnacentral:rRNA from 2 species